rnacentral:rRNA from 1 species
CACGUAGGGUGCGAGCGUUGUCCGGAAUUAUUGGGCGUAAAGAGCUCGUAGGCGGUGUGUCGCGUCGGCCGUGAAAACCUGCAGCUUAACUGUGGGCUUGCGGUCGAUACGGGCAUCACUGGAGUUCGGUAGGGGAGACUGGAAUUCCUGGUGUAGCGGUGAAAUGCGCAGAUAUCAGGAGGAACACCGGUGGCGAAGGCGGGUCUCUGGGCCGAUACUGACGCUGAGGAGCGAAAGCGUGGGGAGCAAACAGG